UACGUAGGCAGCAAGCGUUGUUCGGAGUUACUGGGCGUAAAGGGUGUGUAGGCGGUUGUUUAAGUUUGGUGUGAAAUCUCCCGGCUCAACUGGGAGGGUGCGCCGAAUACUGAAUGACUAGAGUGCGGGAGAGGAAAGUGGAAUUCCUGGUGUAGCGGUGAAAUGCGUAGAUAUCAGGAGGAACACCGGUGGUGUAGACGGCUUUCUGGACCGUAACUGACGCCUGGAGACACGAAAGCGUGGGUAGCAAACAGG
rnacentral:rRNA from 1 species